GUGGAUGCCCUGGCAGUCAGAGGCGAUGAAGGGCGUGCUAAUCUGCGAUAAGCGCCGGUAAGGUGAUAUGAACCGUUAUAACCGGCGAUACCCGAAUGGGGAAACCCAGUGUGACUCGUCACACUAUCAUUAACUGAAUCCAUAGGUUAAUGAGGCGAACCGGGGGAACUGAAACAUCUAAGUACCCCGAGGAAAAGAAAUCAACCGAGAUUCCCCCAGUAGCGGCGAGCGAACGGGGAGGAGCCCAGAGCCUGAAUCAGCAUGUGUGUUAGUGGAAGCGUCUGGAAAGGCGCGCGAUACAGGGUGACAGCCCCGUACACAAAAGCGCAUGUGCUGUGAGCUCGAUGAGUAGGGCGGGACACGUGGUAUCCUGUCUGAAUAUGGGGGGACCAUCCUCCAAGGCUAAAUACUCCUGACUGACCGAUAGUGAACCAGUACCGUGAGGGAAAGGCGAAAAGAACCCCGGCGAGGGGAGUGAAAAAGAACCUGAAACCGUGUACGUACAAGCAGUGGGAGCACCCUUUGGGUGUGACUGCGUACCUUUUGUAUAAUGGGUCAGCGACUUAUAUUCUGUAGCAAGGUUAACCGAAUAGGGGAGCCGGAGGGAAACCGAGUCUUAAUUGGGCGUUAAGUUGCAGGGUAUAGACCCGAAACCCGGUGAUCUAGCCAUGGGCAGGUUGAAGGUUGGGUAACACUAACUGGAGGACCGAACCGACUAAUGUUGAAAAAUUAGCGGAUGACCUGUGGCUGGGGGUGAAAGGCCAAUCAAACCGGGAGAUAGCUGGUUCUCCCCGAAAGCUAUUUAGGUAGCGCCUCGUGAAUUCAUCUCCGGGGGUAGAGCACUGUUUCGGCUAGGGGGCCAUCCCGGCUUACCAACCCGAUGCAAACUGCGAAUACCGGAGAAUGUUAUCACGGGAGACACACGGCGGGUGCUAACGUCCGUCGUGAAGAGGGAAACAACCCAGACCGCCAGCUAAGGUCCCAAAGUCAUGGUUAAGUGGGAAACGAUGUGGGAAGGCCCAGACAGCCAGGAUGUUGGCUUAGAAGCAGCCAUCAUUUAAAGAAAGCGUAAUAGCUCACUGGUCGAGUCGGCCUGCGCGGAAGAUGUAACGGGGCUAAACCAUGCACCGAAGCUGCGGCAGCGACACUGUGUGUUGUUGGGUAGGGGAGCGUUCUGUAAGCCUGUGAAGGUGUGUCGUGAGGCAUGCUGGAGGUAUCAGAAGUGCGAAUGCUGACAUAAGUAACGAUAAAGCGGGUGAAAAGCCCGCUCGCCGGAAGACCAAGGGUUCCUGUCCAACGUUAAUCGGGGCAGGGUGAGUCGACCCCUAAGGCGAGGCCGAAAGGCGUAGUCGAUGGGAAACGGGUUAAUAUUCCCGUACUUGGUGUUACUGCGAAGGGGGGACGGAGAAGGCUAUGUUGGCCGGGCGACGGUUGUCCCGGUUUAAGCGUGUAGGUGUGUGUUCCAGGUAAAUCCGGUUCACUUUAACACUGAGGCGUGACGACGAGGCACUACGGUGCUGAAGCAACAAAUGCCCUGCUUCCAGGAAAAGCCUCUAAGCAUCAGGUAACAUCAAAUCGUACCCCAAACCGACACAGGUGGUCAGGUAGAGAAUACCAAGGCGCUUGAGAGAACUCGGGUGAAGGAACUAGGCAAAAUGGUGCCGUAACUUCGGGAGAAGGCACGCUGACACGUAGGUGAAGUGAUUUACUCAUGGAGCUGAAGUCAGUCGAAGAUACCAGCUGGCUGCAACUGUUUAUUAAAAACACAGCACUGUGCAAACACGAAAGUGGACGUAUACGGUGUGACGCCUGCCCGGUGCCGGAAGGUUAAUUGAUGGGGUCAGCGCAAGCGAAGCUCCUGAUCGAAGCCCCGGUAAACGGCGGCCGUAACUAUAACGGUCCUAAGGUAGCGAAAUUCCUUGUCGGGUAAGUUCCGACCUGCACGAAUGGCGUAAUGAUGGCCAGGCUGUCUCCACCCGAGACUCAGUGAAAUUGAACUCGCUGUGAAGAUGCAGUGUACCCGCGGCAAGACGGAAAGACCCCGUGAACCUUUACUAUAGCUUGACACUGAACAUUGAGCCUUGAUGUGUAGGAUAGGUGGGAGGCUUUGAAGUGUGGACGCCAGUCUGCAUGGAGCCGACCUUGAAAUACCACCCUUUAAUGUUUGAUGUUCUAACGUGGACCCGUUACCCGGGUUGCGGACAGUGUCUGGUGGGUAGUUUGACUGGGGCGGUCUCCUCCUAAAGAGUAACGGAGGAGCACGAAGGUUGGCUAAUCCUGGUCGGACAUCAGGAGGUUAGUGCAAUGGCAUAAGCCAGCUUGACUGCGAGCGUGACGGCGCGAGCAGGUGCGAAAGCAGGUCAUAGUGAUCCGGUGGUUCUGAAUGGAAGGGCCAUCGCUCAACGGAUAAAAGGUACUCCGGGGAUAACAGGCUGAUACCGCCCAAGAGUUCAUAUCGACGGCGGUGUUUGGCACCUCGAUGUCGGCUCAUCACAUCCUGGGGCUGAAGUAGGUCCCAAGGGUAUGGCUGUUCGCCAUUUAAAGUGGUACGCGAGCUGGGUUUAGAACGUCGUGAGACAGUUCGGUCCCUAUCUGCCGUGGGCGCUGGAGAACUGAGGGGGGCUGCUCCUAGUACGAGAGGACCGGAGUGGACGCAUCACUGGUGUUCGGGUUGUCAUGCCAAUGGCACUGCCCGGUAGCUAAAUGCGGAAGAGAUAAGUGCUGAAAGCAUCUAAGCACGAAACUUGCCCCGA
rnacentral:rRNA from 1 species